UACGGGGGGGGCAAGCGUUGUUCGGAAUUACUGGGCGUAAAGGGCGUGUAGGUGGCCAACUAAGUCCGACGUGAAAUCCCCAGGCUUAACCUGGGAACUGCGUCGGAUACUGGAUGGCUUGAAUUCGGGAGAGGAAUGCAGAAUUCCAGGUGUAGCGGUGAAAUGCGUAGAGAUCGGGAGGAACAUCCGUGGCGAAGGCGGCCACCUGGGCCAACACUGACACUGAGGCACGAAAGCGUGGGGAGCAAACAGG
rnacentral:rRNA from 1 species